rnacentral:rRNA from 1 species
CAUGUGGGGCAAGCGUUGUUCGGAAUUACUGGGCAUAAAGGGUGCGUAGGUGGCUUGGUAAGUCAGUGGUGAAAUCGUCCGGCCCAACCGGACAGCUGCCAAUGAUACUGCUGAGCUUGAGUGCGUGAGGGAUGGGGGGAACGAGCAGUGUAGCGGUGAAAUGCGUAGAUAUUGCUCGGAAGGCCAACGCCGAAGGGACCCCAUUGGUGCGCAACUGACACUGAGGCACGAAAGCGUGGGGAGGCAAACAGGAUUAGAUACCCUGGUAGUCCACGCCGUAAACGAUGAGCACUAGGUGGAUGCUGAGCUAUCGGUGUCCGCCGCAGGUAAUUUGGUAAGUGCUCCGCCUGGGGAGUAUGGUCGCAAGGCUG